AAGAUAAAUCCAGUAAGUGAAAGAAAAGUCUCUUGUGGCUGCAGAAUCUAGAUCAUAUGCAACUUGCACAAACAUCUUUUUGCAAAAAGCCAAUGCCAUCACUCCAUUCCAUGUGAACCACCUUCUCUGGAAAGAAAUUCUCACAACUGAGAAGUGAGAACCAAGAAAAAACAUCUUCUAAAUAUUCAGAUCCAGCAUCAGAACCUCAGACUACAUAAAACUUCACUCCAA
rnacentral:misc_RNA from 1 species